CACGUAGUUAGCCGGGGCUUCCUCCUAAGGUACCGUCAUUAUCGUCCCUUAGGACAGAGCUUUACGACCCGAAGGCCUUCAUCGCUCACGCGGCGUCGCUGCAUCAGAGUUUCCUCCAUUGUGCAAUAUUCCCCACUGCUGCCUCCCGUAGGAGUCUGGACCGUGUCUCAGUUCCAGUGUGGCCGUUCACUCUCUCAAGUCGGCUACCCAUCGCAGCCUUGGUGAGCCGUUACCUCACCAACUAGCUAAUGGGACGCGAGGCCAUCUUCUACCGCUAAAGCGCUUUAACUUUAAUUCAUGCGAAUCAAAAGUGUCAUAGGGUAUUAAUCCCGGUUUCCCGAGGCUAUCCCCUUGUAGAAGGCAGGUUCCUCACGCGUUACUCACCCAUCCGCCGCUAAGAAGUAUUUUUAAAUCCAUCCGAAGAUUUACUUAAAAAUAUUCUUCGCUCGACUUGCAUGUGUUAAGCACGUCGCCAGCGUUCGUCCUGAGCCAGGAUCAAACUCU
rnacentral:rRNA from 1 species